CUCUUUUGCAGAAUGGAAUAGUUGAAGAUACGAGACAGUUCUGUGAAAAAUGUUUCUGACCUGAUCCAAAACAUGAGCCUCACUUGGAGUGUGUCUGCUCUGGGGAAUCAGAGCGCAGCAGCAUGGACCUCCAGUGUGUGCAGAAUGCAGCUCAAGCUCUCGUGGACAUGGAUGAACCCACUUGGACACCAGGGACCCUUCAUGAAAGACAAAUGAAGCUGCUCAUGAGACCCAUGCAGUAUAGCUGGUGUAUGCUUUUUCUUCAAUUCACAGUUUAUUUACAUUUCUUAUCCUCUAUCACAGUGCUUGUCUAAGUGCAUCAACAGUUCCCAUGAUGGUACAGUGGGAGGCAUAAUUCCCAUUUGUUUGAGUUGUAGAUUUCUUUUCAAAACACUUCAAACACGGGACAAUGAAAAAGAGCUACUACUUCCAGCACAUCACGAGGGAAUACAGAAGCAUCUAAUGGAAUAUUCAACACAGCAGUGUGAAUGCACAGUGGAUGUAUGCAGCUCUCAAAAUCCCUGGAAAACAGAUAAGCACAGUUCUGCUCUGGAGGAAUAUUAUAUGUGACUGGGGUGUCUCAGCAUGUGGGACCUCACCAGUGCUGUCCUGAAUGCGCUGAGGGCUCUGCAGCCACGGUAUUGCUGCAGUCUCCAGGACGUCAGGAAGGGUCAGAGCCCUCAUCACAUUGUCCUCACCUGAAUGAAACGGCUUUGCCAUUUCUCUGACACCCGAUGAAGAUCUGCCCCGAGGAUGGUUCCGGUGUGUACCAAGGAUGAGCAGUGGGGACCCAUGGACAUCUUUUCUUUACCAGGAGUGGAGUGGGUAUUCUGAAUCCAGGAGCCUGGUUAAUGGAGGGAGGCCAUUAACAGAGCUGGUAAAUGGGGCACGGAGCACCCUGAGCCUUUCCCAAGCAGGGAAAGAAAUGACUGCCAUUUCCCAGAGCAGGCACAAAGCUUUGCAGGCCUGCCAGAAGUGCCACCAACCCAGCAGGGAACGCCUCAGCAAAAGCAUUCAGCCAUGCGAGCCGGGCCUUGCCCCGGCGGGCAGCCGGGACAGGCAACGCCUACAGCGGCUGGAGCAGAGUGCCACAGACGAUGCACGAGCUGGAGCAGAGUGCCACAGACAAUGGUGCCAGCUCUGUCCCUGUCGCUGCCGCUGGCAGGUGGCAUCGGCUCCAUCGGGCAGGGACAGCACCGCGGGCUGCCGAGCCCCAGCCCGGCCUUUCGGGCCCUGGCAUUCCCCUGCCGGCCGCCCAGCCCCGCACCGGAGCAGCUCCUGCCUCAGAACCGCCACAUUCUGCAGAUUCCCGGUCUCCUGUGCCGCUGCAUGGCCGCACGCAGAAAUGCAGCUCUGCGGAGGAACCUCUGCGCUCUUUCCCAGUGCAGAUACCGUUGCAACAAAAUCUGUUCAUUCUUUAUCCCACUAUCUUCAUUGUGGAAGCUGAAAUACAACAUGUCAGCUGGAGAAGGGCAGCCUAAGGUAAGCUUGGGACACACACUUCAAGGCUGGAUCCCACAGAGAUCUGAACUGUAGUGAAAAUCAGAAAUGUAUAGGUCUUGGUUCUGUGUUCAGCACUGAAGAACAUAUAUACUUGAGUUUGGGCUGGGUCAGACUGCAAUUUAAAGUGGAGUUUGAUCAAUUCCCUUCAUCAGGCUCCCAUUCACUGUGAGUAUUGAAAACUAAAAUAUUUUCCCCAGAGGUUUUACGUUUUACUUACUCUUAUUCCUACUAGUCUGGGUGAAUACUUUGCAUUAAGAUGAACCAGCCACAAGGUGUCAAUGUAGUGUAGCAGAUUCUCAGUAAGGGUUUGUUACUACAGCAUCCUUUGACUUUCAGUGCAAUUAAAAUCUGCCUUCUGAUAGCGUAUUUUUAUCACUAAUUGCGAAAAUUAUGGUCAGAUCACAUUUUCUGUACCUGAUUAAUCAGUGAAGCCUUCUAAUGUUAUGAUUGCCAGGGUGUGAAGAGAAAAAUCACUGAAGUGAUCACUGAAGAGAAAAACGACUGAAGUAAAUGAUGUGACAAGUCACAACUGCUGUAGAACUGUUUUAGAAGGAAAGGCUGACAAAGUGGGAUGUGGACUGGUAGAGAUAAAUUAAUUCUUAUCAAAUUAUCAAAAGUGACCGUAAACAAAAAAACACAAUAUGGGAAUUCACUUUUCACAGUAAGGAGUCAAAAUAUCUGAGUGAACUAGUGUGUGUUUAUAAAGCCCCAGUUACACCCAUUUAUAAGAGGUAUAGUGACAGAUGAGACCAGAUAGAGAUGGAAAAGCAAUAUUGCAGAUUAUUUUGUG
ensembl:lncRNA